rnacentral:rRNA from 1 species
GGUGGUGCAUGGCCGUUCUUAGUUGGUGGAGUGAUUUGUCUGGUUAAUUCCGAUAACGAACGAGACCUUAACCUGCUAACUAGAUUCUUUUAUCCUAUAAAAGUUAUCUUCUUAGAGGGACUAUGUAAAACAAAUACAUGGAAGUUUGAGGCAAUAACAGGUCAGUGAUGCCCUUAUAUGUCCUGGGCUGCACGCGUGCUACACUGAUGCAUACAACAAGUGCCUAACCAGACAUGGCAUGGCAAUCUCGAAUAUGCAUCGUGAUAGGGAUAGAUCUUUGCAAUU